CGUAGGGUGCAAGCGUUGUCCGGAAUUACUGGGCGUAAAGAGUUCGUAGGCGGUUUGUCGCGUCGUUUGUGAAACCAGCAGCUCAACUGCUGGCUUGCAGGCGAUACGGGCAGACUUGAGUACUGCAGGGGAGACUGGAAUUCCUGGUGUAGCGGUGAAAUGCGCAGAUAUCAGGAGGAACACCGGUGGCGAAGGCGGGUCUCUGGGCAGUAACUGACGCUGAGGAACGAAAGCGUGGGUAGCGAACAGGAUU
rnacentral:rRNA from 1 species